rnacentral:rRNA from 1 species
GAAGGGCCCGAGCGUUAAUCGGAAUCACUGGGCUUAAAGCGUACGUAGGCGGGCGCGCAGGCACCUUGUGAAAUCCCUCGGGCUCAACCGAGGAACUGCUUGGUGAACCGCGCGUCUUGGGGCAAGUAGGGGCUGUCGGAACGCUAGGUGGAGUGGUGAAAUGCGUUGAUAUCUAGCGGAACGCCGAAGGAGAAAUCAGGCAGCUGGGCUUGUUCUGACGCUGAGGUACGAAAGCGUGGGGAGCGAACGGGAUUAGAUACCCCGGUAGUCCACGCUGUAAACGAUGUGCACUAGAUCGAGGGGGUUCUGACACCGCUCUCGGUCGAAGCAAAAGUGUUAAGUGCACCGCCUGCGGAGUACGGUCGCAAGGCUA